GGCUCAGGAUGAACGCUGGCGGCGUGCNUAAUACAUGCAAGUCGAGCGAACGGACAGGAGUGCUUGCACUCCUUGAAGUUAGCGGCGGACGGGUGAGUAACACGUGGGUAACCUACCUAUAAGACUGGGAUAACUUCGGGAAACCGGAGCUAAUACCGGAUAAUAUAUACCUCCGCAUGGAGGAAUAGUCAAAGACGGUUCUGCUGUCACUUAUAGAUGGACCCGCGGUGUAUUAGCUAGUUGGUGAGGUAACGGCUCACCAAGGCAACGAUACAUAGCCGACCUGAGAGGGUGAUCGGCCACACUGGGACUGAGACACGGCCCAGACUCCUACGGGAGGCAGCAGUAGGGAAUCUUCCGCAAUGGACGAAAGUCUGACGGAGCAACGCCGCGUGAGUGAAGAAGGUUUUCGGAUCGUAAAACUCUGUUGUAAGGGAAGAACAAGUACGUUAGUAA
rnacentral:rRNA from 1 species